rnacentral:lncRNA from 1 species
AUGACCUCCUCCCCAUUCUCCAUGGUGAACCCAAUCUGGUGUGGGUCUCAUGUAGGUGAUCACAGCUACUGAGAGCUCAAGAGAGCAAAGGCCAGUAAGCCUUCACUUCUGCCAAGAUGAUGACUAUGGUAAUUUGGGUUUUGUGUACAUUGUAAUAUAAGGAGGUGCUUCCAUCCUGUGGAUUCCUGCUCAUCUCUGUUUCCUGCUCAUUCCUGCUCUCCUCUGCAUACAGAGGAGUAUCCCAGCUGGCAAAGUCUACAUGUGUCUACAUUCAUGUAUCUGCUUCCUGGAAGACACACCCACCUCCACUCCCAGUCAUCAGUCAUGAUGGGGUUUACAACCAAGUUUAUGAAAGAGAAGUGGAAGCUGGAAACCAGGAUACUGAGAACAGCAGAGAAAUCAGCAGCAGGAAAAACAGGGUGAAUCAACUCAUCUGCAUAAAGGAAGGCCAGAUGAGCAAAAGACAGUUUCAUUUCUUGCUUCUUGGCUGCCAAGAAAAGAGCAGCUAUAGCCAUUCUUCUCUCCCACCAUGAUGUACUGACUCAUCAUAGACUCAAGAGAUACGAUCAACCUACUGUGUACUGGAAUUCCCAAUGCUGUAGCCCAAAUAAACUUUUCUUCUCAACAAGUUGGUUUGUCUCAG